GAUUAACGCUGGCGGCGUGCCUAACACAUGCAAGUCGAGCGGCAGCGCGUUUUACACUGAAUUCUGGAAGCUUCUAGUUGAAAGAGAAGAUUUAUUCAAGAAUUUUGUGUAAAAUGUCGGCGAGCGGCGGACGGCUGAGUAACGCGUGGGAACGUACCCCAAAGUGAGGGAUAACGCAUCGAAAGGUGUGCUAAUACCGCAUAUGGUCUUCGGAUUAAAGCCUUCGGGCGCUUUGGGAACGGCCUGCGUAAGAUUAGAUAGUUGGUGGGGUAAUGGCCUACCAAGUCGACGAUCGUUACCUGGUUGGAGAGGAUGAGCAGUCAGACUGGAACUGAGACACGGUCCAGACUCCUACGGGAGGCAGCAGUGAGGAAUCUUCCACAAUGGGCGAAAGCCUGAUGGAGCAACGCCGCGUGCAGGAUGAAGGCCUUCGGGUUGUAAACUGCUUUUAUAAGUGAGGAUUAUGACAGUAACUUAUGAAUAAGGAUCGGCUAACUACGUG
rnacentral:rRNA from 1 species